rnacentral:lncRNA from 1 species
GCAUUUGAGUUAUAUAUAGUUGUAACGCUUCUUUAAUUCACUUCUUCAUCUUCAAAUCAAUUUAAGUUUCUUGUUAUUUUUGUGAAAUAGGUGAACAUCGAGCAAUAUCAAUUUGCCUUCUACCUCAUAACCAUGCAAAUAUAGAAAUUUUAGUUCAAGAAUCUCAAAAUGAAAAUACCUAAACAAUACAUACUUAUUAUUUUUUGUCAACCUAUGACUACAAUGACAAAAUUGUUUUUCUCUGUCACUAAACUUGUAUUUCGCCACCUUCGACAUGCCAUUGUUUUUAAUUGUCGAUAGCAGAACACCAAAAACACCUCUCUAUCCUUUGCACUUUUUCUUUUUCUUUUGUUUCUAA